rnacentral:lncRNA from 1 species
CCGCGCCUGAAGCUCAACUUCCGAGGCUCUCAUCAAUCUACGCUUCCUUUGGAGCGUGCAGCCACCAGGUGGCAGCCGAGGCCACGGGCAGACAGAAAAGCUCCCGAAACUGAAGGACUGCCAGGCAGCAGAGUUCCGGAGGGCUCCCAGGACCUUCAACCAGAAAGAGACAGAGCAUAUGCGCAUAUGCCUGCAAGGAAUGUACUAUAGAGCCAAUUUUACCGGCAAAGGAAUGGAAGAUCUGAAAGGCUAGGCGAUCCCACAAGCAUCGAGGAGCAGGCUGGAAUUUGAACCAAUCGGCAUGAUUCCCAAGCUCAAGCUUUUGGCCACCCCUGCACUGCCAGGGACAAAAAAAAAAAAAAAAAAAAACCCUGGGAGGAGAGCCAAGCUAGGGAGUCAAGACCCUCCAGCCAGGUCUGGAUGGGAGGCAGGUGCCUCCACCCUGGUCCCAGAGCAAGUUCUGCUGGCUUCAGCCACCU